CAGCAGCCACGGUAAUACCGAGGGUGCAAGCGUUAAUCGGAAUUACUGGGCGUAAAGGGCGCGUAGGUGGUUGUGUAAGUGAGAUGUGAAAUCCCCGGGCUCAACCUGGGAACUGCGUCUUAUACUGCAUAGCUUGAGUACAAUAGAGGGUAGUGGAAUUUCCGGUGUAGCGGUGAAAUGCGUAGAUAUCGGAAGGAACACCAGUGGCGAAGGCGGCUACCUGGAUUGAUACUGACACUGAGGCGCGAGAGCGUGGGGAGCAAACAGGAUUAGAUACCCCAGUAGUCCCUGUCUCUUAUAC
rnacentral:rRNA from 1 species